rnacentral:rRNA from 1 species
UGGGGAAUAUUGCGCAAUGGGCGAAAGCCUGACGCAGCGACGCCGCGUGAGGGAUGAAGGUUUUCGGAUCGUAAACCUCUGUCAGAAGGGAAGAAACCGCACUGUGCUAAUCAGCAGUGCCUUGACGGUACCUUCAAAGGAAGCACCGGCUAACUCCGUGCCAGCAGCCGCGGUAAUACGGAGGGUGCAAGCGUUAAUCGGAAUUACUGGGCGUAAAGCGCACGUAGGCUGCUUUGUAAGUCAGAGGUGACAUCCCACGGCUCAACCGUGGAACUGCCUUUGAUACUGCUUAGCUUGAAUCCGGGAGAGGGUGGCGGAAUUCCAGGUGUAGGAGUGAAAUCCGUAGAUAUCUGGAGGAACAUCAGUGGCGAAGGCGGCCACCUGGACCGGUAUUGACGCUGAGGUGCGAAAGCGUGGGGAGCAAACAGG